CCUUCACGAAGUCGGAAUUGCUAGUAAUGGCAGGUCAGCAUACUGCCGUGAAUACGUUCCCGGGCCUUGUACACACCGCCCGUCACACCAUGAGAGUUGGAAAUACCCGAAGCCUGUGAGCUAACAGUAAUGAGGCAGCAGUCGAAGGUAGAGCCAAUGAUUGGGGUGAAGUCGUAACAAGGUAUC
rnacentral:rRNA from 1 species